CUCCUGCUGAGACAGUGCCGCCCCCUGCUCUAAACGUUUUGAUAAGUGUGCGAAGUGUUUGGUGGUGUGCGGAAUGAGGUGAUGGCAGUGCAUUGUAUGGACAGUCUUGUUUUGAGACUAGGAUGGGAAAAGCAAUUUGUUUAUGUUGGUGCCUCUCUGUUCUUUUGGUGGUGACAUCUGGUGAACAGUUACUACAUUCUGUGGCUGGGGAGGUGGGCCGUGGUAACUACACUUACUACAGCUUAAUGUAUGAAGGCCCCAUCGUACUGUCCCUUUAUUCAGAGUUGGGUGAUGCUGACUUGUAUGUGUCACAGACAGUGACCAAACCGACAUUUGAACCAGAAACAUACUGUCUUCAGUCUUCUACCUGUGGCCUUGAUGUUGUACACAUACCUC